GGGGAUAACUACUGGAAACGGUGGCUAAUACCGCAUAACGUCGCAAGACCAAAGAGGGGGACCUUCGGGCCUCUUGCCAUCAGAUGUGCCCAGAUGGGAUUAGCUUGUUGGUGAGGUAACGGCUCACCAAGGCGACGAUCCCUAGCUGGUCUGAGAGGAUGACCAGCCACACUGGAACUGAGACACGGUCCAGACUCCUACGGGAGGCAGCAGUGGGGAAUAUUGCACAAUGGGCGCAAGCCUGAUGCAGCCAUGCCGCGUGUAUGAAGAAGGCCUUCGGGUUGUAAAGUACUUUCAGCGGGGAGGAAGGUGUUGUGGUUAAUAACCGCAGCAAUUGACGUUACCCGCAGAAGAAGCACCGGCUAACUCCGUGCCAGCAGCCGCGGUAAUACGGAGGGUGCAAGCGUUAAUCGGAAUUACUGGGCGUAAAGCGCACGCAGGCGGUCUGUCAAGUCGGAUGUGAAAUCCCCGGGCUCAACCUGGGAACUGCAUUCGAAACUGGCAGGCUUGAGUCUUGUAGAGGGGGGUAGAAUUCCAGGUGUAGCGGUGAAAUGCGUAGAGAUCUGGAGGAAUACCGGUGGCGAAGGCGGCCCCCUGGACAAAGACUGACGCUCAGGUGCGAAAGCGUGGGGAGCAAACAGGAUUAGAUACCCUGGUAGUCCACGCCGUAAACGAUGUCUACUUGGAGGUUGUGCCCUUGAGGCGUGGCUUCCGGAGCUAACGCGUUAAGUAGACCGCCUGGGGAGUACGGCCGCAAGGUUAAAACUCAAAUGAAUUGACGGGGGCCCGCACAAGCGGUGGAGCAUGUGGUUUAAUUCGAUGCAACGCGAAGAACCUUACCUGGUCUUGACAUCCACAGAACUUUCCAGAGAUGGAUUGGUGCCUUCGGGAACUGUGAGACAGGUGCUGCAUGGCUGUCGUCAGCUCGUGUUGUGAAAUGUUGGGUUAAGUCCCGCAACGAGCGCAACCCUUAUCCUUUGUUGCCAGCGGUCCGGCCGGGAACUCAAAGGAGACUGCCAGUGAUA
rnacentral:rRNA from 1 species